rnacentral:rRNA from 1 species
UACAGAGGUGGCAAGCGUUGUUCGGAAUUACUGGGCGUAAAGGGCGCGUAGGCGGCCCACUAAGUCAGACGUGAAAUCCCCCGGCUUAACCCGGGAACUGCGUCUGAUACUGGAGGGCUUGAGUAUGGGAGAGGGAUGUAGAAUUCCAGGUGUAGCGGUGAAAUGCGUAGAUAUCUGGAGGAAUACCGGUGGCGAAGGCGGCAUCCUGGACCAUUACUGACGCUGAUGCGCGAAAGCUAGGGGAGCAAACGGG